rnacentral:rRNA from 1 species
CAGUCGCCACGGUAAUACAGAGGGUGCGAGCGUUAAUCGGAUUUACUGGGCGUAAAGCGUGCGUAGGCGGCUUUUUAAGUCGGAUGUGAAAUCCCUGAGCUUAACUUAGGAAUUGCAUUCGAUACUGGGAAGCUAGAGUAUGGGAGAGGAUGGUAGAAUUCCAGGUGUAGCGGUGAAAUGCGUAGAGAUCUGGAGGAAUACCGAUGGCGAAGGCAGCCAUCUGGCCUAAUACUGACGCUAAGGUACGAAAGCAUGGGGAGCAAACAGGAUUAGAUACCCGCGUAGUCCCUGUCUCUUAUAC